rfam:Camelus ferus unplaced genomic scaffold scaffold544, whole genome shotgun sequence.
GAGGGUGUAGCUCAGGUGGUAGAGUGUGUGCUUAGCAUUCAUGAGGUCCUGGGUUCAAUCCCCAGUACUUCCU